AUUGAACGCUGGCGGCAGGCUUAAUACAUGCAAGUCGAGCGCGCGGCGGACGGGUGAGUAAUGUCUGGGAAACUGCCUGCUGGAGGGGGAUAACUACUGGAAACGGUAGCUAAUACCGCAUACCAUCAGAUGUGCCCAGCUGGGAUUAGCUCGUAGGUGGGGUAAUGGCUCACCUAGGCGACGAUCACUAGCUGGUCUGAGAGGAUGACCAGCCACACUGGAACGGAGACACGGUCCAGACUCCGACGGGAGGGAGCAGUGGGGAAUAUUGCACAAUGGGCGCAAGCCUGAUGCAGCCAUGCCGCGUGUGUGAAGAAGGCCGUCGGGUUGUAAAGCACGUUCAUCGAGGAGGCGUUACUCGCAGAAGAAGCACCGGCUAACUCCGUGCCAGCAGCCGCGGUAAUUC
rnacentral:rRNA from 1 species